UAUCGAGAAGCAGAGUCGAUUUUAGGAAGAUGAUAUUUGAUGGAAAUUAUGAACCUUAAAUUGUCCAUUUUUCCUUGAGAAUUACUUAGCACGAUGCAUUGCUUGGAGAAGUUAUUGAUACAGUAUCAGAUUAAACAAUUUUCCCAUAUCUACCAACGAUUAGUUAACUUUCAUCGAUUUAGAAGACAAAGUUUGCUUUAUCGUCUAAUCUUUCGUGCUGGCAAAUCUACCAAAACGUUUUUAUUACUUUGCCCUAAUCUACUUAAAUCUGAGAGAAUUCUGAAGCGCUUAUCGACGCCUCCACUUUACUACAGAGUCGUUCGUUAAGACAACAAUUAAGAAGAUAGGGAAAUCAAAGGUGAACCGUGCGAACUAACUCAUUAAGUAGACUUAGAGCUAAUGGUAAUUGGUUGUCAAGCAAGGGAACCUUGCACAGGGAAUACAUAUGUAAAUUAUAGGGGUUGGUUGAGGUAUUCAGAUUGGUGCCACUGAUGAAAUUGAAAUGGAAAUGGAAAGCAUUCGAUGCUUCAUUGACCUGAGCACAGUGGUUCGAACGUAGAAUAUGUAAAUUAAAUAAAAUUGUAAAACAUACUCAAUAGAGACGUUAUAUAUAUAUAAUACAUACAAUUUGAGUGAAAUUGGAGCAACGUUGAUGGUACGUGAUAUUUCAUUGUCGAAUAAGAAUGGUAAAUGGACAUUUGAAUUUUGAGAAGAUCGAAAAUUCUUUAUAUUCAGAUUUACGAGGGCACGAAAUUAUUUCAGAUCAAAUAUCAAAGAUUUCGAACAACGACGAAUCGAAUUCCUGUUGUAAUUCUAUACGAGUAAUAUUUAUUUGAAAGAAAUUAUCGCAGAGGAGAUAUGAUGGAAAAAAAUAAGAAGAUAAAGAUAAAAUAGAAACGACUCAACCUUUUCCAGACAUUAUCGACGAUUAAUUGUUUAUUACCCGUGUUUCGCGUGAUUCACAAGCGAUAAUAACACAACUCUCUAGAUUAUUUAAACGAGAACAAUGGUACAUGGUAAUUAGCCUUGAUCGGCGUGAAUUUUACGAUCUCGUAUUAUCGACGACGUCGAAACGCAGAAAAUAUUAUUUCGUCAGAGCGAUAAACCGUGUUAAUAUCGUUCGGCGAAGAAAAGCGAGCUCAUAAAAGGAUUGUACGAUCGGUUUCCCCUUGUCAAGAAUUAACACGAUCUUUAUAAUCCGCUUGACGCAUCAAUUAAUCCUUCUGGAUCUUAAAUUUCAUCCGAACGUGUAGCUCUUACAGCGUCGAAGCGCAAGAAAUUAUUUCAUCAGCAGAUAUAACUGAUCCUAUUGUUUCUUUGGAUUUCUAAAGUUGACUCGAUUUCUACCACACGGUCCAUGUUUGCUUUUUGAUUUGCAACUAACGCGAUACUUUGUUUCUUUAAAAAUACGUUGUUGUAUGUAUCUUCGUUGAUCGUCUGUUCUCGAUUAUCAGUAGAUACGUCUGAACGAAAGUGGAGAAGGAAAGUAUUUUCCUUCGAACUUUCCCUUCCUAUAAUUUCUACCUUUCCUCGCAUAAUUAUUUAUCGAGCAUUUGCGAGCUUAUCAGGUCACCGUUUACAACUAAGAAGCAACCGAUCGUGUCACGCUUAGCUGAAUCUUGGAAAAUAUACAUUUCCACAGUAAAACCACGUACACGUGAAAGAACAAAUUUUCUCUCUUUUAAACUGAUAAACAAUGAUGAAACAAUACGAAGAAUAGAUUCAAGAUAUAAUAUAAAGAUAAAGUUCUCACUUUUAAAACCACAUAUAAAAUAAUGCAAAAGUCAAAUUCAAAAUAUCACAUAGAAAUGAAACAAGAAGACAAAAAUAGUUGAAACAAAGUACACGAAAAGAACUUCGAAAACAUCCCUGUCCCUAUGUCAAAAUCGAAUAAUGAUAAUUAACCAAUUAACUAACUCCAGAACCUUUUACCUCCACGUACAAGUAGAUCUUCCCUUGCACGAUACCCAGAAGCUAAUUUCUCGUCGCACACCCCAAUAUCAAUUUCCACCCUCCUUCAAUUUCAACCUCGAAAGGGAUAAAUUCUUCGAGUUCAUCGACUCGUGUAACGUUCUAGUGGCCAGAUUAAUUCGUCUUCGGUCGUCCUAAUUUUUCACCUCGACUCGAGCAACAAAGAGCUCGUACAAAAGGGGGUAACAGAGAAUUCGAUGGCUCGCCGUGGUUUCGGAUUACGGCGAUCCCACGCGGUUAGAUCGUAUCUCAAUCGUCUUAAUCCGACGAUCUGACCCAGAGAAGGCUCUUUUUCGCGUUCCACUAGCCGAUGUACCAACCGGAUUAAGUGUACGGUAUUAAUUCUACAAAGCGGGAACACGAUACUCUUUCUUCAACUCUUUUCGUGCCUCCCCGCCGCCUUUUUUCUCGCGGAACCAGUGGAUCGAUCGUCGAGCUUCUGCGACCAAAUCACUUUCGCCGUUUCGGCAGCGACGCGUUAAGAUGACGCGUUAAUUGGUUUAGUAAUUAACGAAAUUGUGAAUUAGUCGCAGAGAGAAAGAAUUUAGAUUUACUUGAGAACAAGUUUCACCGUUUGUCAUUUGCAUCUUUUGCAUAUUUUUAUUUAUUAUUAUAUUACUAUUAUUUUUUAUGUAUAUUAUUAUUUAUUAUGUAUAUUACUAUAUUUAUUUGGCGGGGCAGCCAGCUACGCUCGUUUAGACUCCUUACUGUACACGACGCGUCGCGAGUUCGAAUCCCUCUCGCCCGGAAUGUAUUUUCAAGGGAUGGAAAACUCAAAAAAAGAAA